UCUUCAGAGACUCCACAUGCUGCCCGUAGUCAUGCAUUCUGUCUGCAGGGCUACUAGAGCUACUUGGCACUGGGAACCUUCAUGUCCAGGGGUUCAACGGCUGCUCAUUAAAUCCCAGAACAAAUGAAUAAAUGAGCACGUGCCUUCCCCCAAGGCCAUGCCUGAGCCUGUACACCUGGGAAGAUUGCUUUGGCUUUCUUCUAUCCUGUAGGAGAAGGCUGUAGUGUGGUAUGGCCAGAGCCUGGAGGAUGACUCUCUCCAUCACCCACACUUCCAGCAGGUCUGUGUGGCCACUGCAGCUGAGACUCCAAACCUCCAGGUUUCCUGGCUCUACGACUCACUUGCUAUCACUUGGCCAUGGCCAAAGCUCUUGGUCUCUUGCCACCUCAGUUUCCCCAAGAAACUGACAUUACCUGUCACUCUAGCAGAGCCAUCAGGAAACUCAGAAGAAAACAGAGUCAGAGGAAAGCAAGUUGAAAGGUUUAAAUUUGCUGCGUAGAUUUUGAGCAGGGGCGACAAGACGGUUAAAUUUUUUUUUUAUUCUAAUAUCUCCAUGUUCUCAAAUGGAAAAAUUCCCUCAGACCUAUACAUAAGCUCUGCUGUGUCCGUCCUGGAGAGAACAGGGCCCUGAGGGUUGUUGACAUGCCCCGAGGCUAGCUUCCACCCACACAGGUGGAAUUUUCCAUUUUGUUUUUUUGCAAAUAUUAAUCAAGUCUCUGGGCGGUUAACAGUAGACUCAUUGUCUCGUGAGGAGGGAGCUGGUUCUGGCGAAUGCCAGCUGCCUGCCAGGGCUCUUGGACUGGCCCUAGCUGGGAUAGCAGCCACUGGAGCAUUCCUGCCUCUGGUGCUACCUCUGCCCUCUGUUCCACUCCAGCCGCUUGGACUCCGCCAUGCCUAAUUUAAUGCUAUAUUUGAGCCAGAAACCCUGAGAGUCACCCAGGGCUUGCCAGUCCUUGAUCUUGAGCCUGGGCAUAGAACUCCAUAUGUUCUUUGCCCAGUACAAGGGGCAUAGGAAAACCCCAGACUCAGCCAUGGUUAUAGUUCAGUGUUAAUGCUACCCCAGCCAAUCCAGGAGGUGAAACCACGUGAGGGCAUGACCUCUGGCAUGUGACCUCUGUCCCACAGACACUUGUGUUGAUUUACGGGUUUAUAUUUUCACAUUGGGACUUCAAAAAGUAUAGACCACAGGAGAAAUGGGGAAGCCAUUGUCUACUCUCAGAGCCUCAAUAUAGACGGGAGUCAGCCCCGUGGGGGUGCAAGGCAACCAGCACUGUGGUGGAAAGAGAAGGCAGGAUGAUCUGGGGUGUGGUUGCCAAUAGUCAGGUUAACCAGUAGUUGAUCUUAUUAUUGGUCGUAGUUGAAAGGUCCCGUUCUGUAUGUUGUGGAAGAGAACACAGCCACAUGGAUGAGGUUAAGUAAGGAGGGGCUCGGGGUUCAGGCCAUGACCCGUAAACCGAGGGAAAUCUCCUUGGGCUUUGAGCUUUGCAUUUUUAAAUAUUUUAGAUUUACUAUUUCCCCGCACCCUAAAGUCUCAAAAUCAUGAAUCCCCUGCCUUAGCCUCUCCCUCCUAGGUGGCGGGGCUAUAGGAAUGUGCCACUAUGCUCUGCACAGUUUCCUUUCACCCUCAUAAAAACAAGAAACUGUGAAGUAGACAGCUGCUUCCAUUUUAAAGACUUACUUAUUCUUUGUCUUGUGUGUAUGAGAUUUUGCCCGCAUGUAUUUAUAUGUACUGCAUGCAUGCCUGGUGCCUAUGGAGCACUGGUUCCCCCUGGAACUGGAGCUCCGGGUGGUUGUGAGCCACCAUGUGGAUGCUGGGACCUGAAUCCGGGUCCUCUACAAGAAGAGCAAAUGCUCUGAGCCACCGAGCCUUCUCUCCAGCCCCAUUCCCAGUUUUAUAAGUCAAGAACCUGAGUCCCAUAGAAGCCGCCUCCUGAGCGUGGCUGAGCUGUAAUCAACUCAAGGAUCUUGGCCAGCAGUUUUCACUUGUCUGAAGUAUGAGACUUGAACAUGGAACCCCAAUGUAUAAGACACAUACAAGUUCAUUUAUUUUAUAAGUUGGUAUUUGCGUUUUUAUUUUGCACGAUAUUCCCCUCCUUCAGAACCCGAGGCUGUGGGAGCUAAGUGACGCUAACAUGAUUUGUUUCUGCAAUGAGUUUAUUGAUAGCAGUUUUCGUUUACUACGGUGAAGUAGUCGGACACCUUUAAGCUGCUCUCCCUUGCUGCCUUGGGGCCGCCUGUGGCUAAAGAUUCAGAAGUUUAGAAGGGGGCACAGUGUGUAUGUACAUUGGGGGCCUGAUCACAGCUGUGAAGGGCUGGAGCAGGGGAGGUACUAGGGACCCACAUCCCACUCUCAUUAGACUUGGAGGUGGCUCGGUGCGCAAUGGAAGAUAGUAUGCAGGUGAACAUGGGCUUCAGACUACAUAGGCUUUAUGGAACAUUUGCUCUUAAUGUAACCCUUUCUAAUGUAAUAUAAUGUAAGCGUUUUAGGGCAAAUGUUUGGCUCCAGCCGGCUAGGCUAAGCCACAUACACAUCCCUGUAUGCCAGUUAGAGAUGAGGAGAGGUGAAAGCAGAGAGAGGCAGUUGAAUCCAUGUGGCCAUGUUGGGAAGAUUGAGCAAAGAGCCCAGUGACUCCCCAACCUGUCAGGAUGCAUCUAUAUGGUUAUUGAGGACAAGAAGGCUGCAAACAGACAGAAGUCUUGAACGGGCCUGAACCUAGAAAGGAAAGCCGUCUCAGGAGGCAGCGAUGAUGGAGAAAACAAGUGUUUGUGUUGGAUUUGGAAAACCCUGAAGUAAGGUUGCAACAAGAAGCCUGCAUUAGAAAAGAUUCUGAGACCCACUCUGUGGACCUGCGCUGUGCACAGACAUAUUCCACCACCCUGUUUCUGCUGUAGAGGAACAAAUAAAUAUUUU
rnacentral:lncRNA from 1 species